CUCAGGGAGGUAGUGACAAGAAAUAACGACACUGGAAAUUUUAUUUCUAGUGAUUGGAAUGAUGGGAAUUUAAACCCCUUUCAGAGUAACAAUUGGAGGGCAAGUCUGGUGCCAGCAGCCGCGGUAAUUCCAGCUCCAAUAGCGUAUAUUAAAGUUGUUGCAGUUAAAAAGCUCGUAGUUGGAUGUCUGCUGGAAGCAAUCAGUCCGCCCUAUUUGUAGGGUGUGCACUUGAUGAAUUCUGGCAUCUAUGUCCUAAUGUGAUAGAUACGGCGGUGUAUAUGGGUUAAUCCUAUAUACCCGUUUGUAUAUUAUAUUGGGAUAAUACCGUUACCUUGAGAAAAUUAGAGUGUUUGAAGCAGGCUAAUUGCCUUGAAUACUGCAGCAUGGAAUAACAAUAUAGGAUUUCGGUUCUAUUUUGUUGGUUUCUAGGACUGAAAUAAUGAUUAAUAGGGACAGUUGGGGGCAUUCGUAUUUAACUGUCAGAGGUGAAAUUCUUAGAUUUGUUAAAGACGAACUACUGCGAAAGCAUUUGCCAAAGAUGUUUUCAUUAAUCAAGAACGAAAGUUAGGGGCUCGAAGACGAUCAGAUACCGUCGUAGUCUUAACCAUAAACUAUGCCGACUAGAGAUAGGAAACUGUCAUUUUUCUGACUU
rnacentral:rRNA from 1 species